UGCCAGGACCCUGGGAUCAUGACCUGAGCCGAAGGCAGACGCUUAACGACUGAGCAACCCAGGUGCCCUGUAAAGGAACUUUCUGAAACAGAACAGCAGUACUUAUGGUAGAACAAUUUGAGGGAGAGAAGGUAAAGACAACUGAAUUUUCUGUCUCUGGAACCCAGGAAAGGAGCAGGGGGAGGUUGCCUUCUGGGUACAUGUCAGACAUCCAUUUCUCCAAGAGCCAUCUGCCCCAGACCCCCAGAUGUGGGAGGAGAUAAGAUCUGACAUUACCAAUGGGAGGCUAGAGAGAGAGAAGAGAAUAUUGUAUUAGGAAUCUUUGGUUGUAAGUGACCCAAACUCUAUUUGAACCAGGUUAAGGGGGAAAUUUUUUUUAAAGGAAAAGGAGAGAUUGAGAAUGUAGUGGCUCCUUUACCUUGGAGUUUCAAAGGGUGUGUCAACUUCAGGCACUGCUGGAUCCAGGGUUCCUAAUAGUGUCUGUGUUAUUUCCCCACCAUCUCAUCGGUCAGUUCUGUUGGUUUCUGCCUAUCUUGAAGAAUAGGCCUUCUUCUGUCCCAUGGCAGACAGACCAUCUCCAGUCCCAGGAGAGAUGCUCACAUGUUUACAUUCUGUCAGCUCACACUUCAGAAGGAAGGGUCAGUGGUCCCUACUAGCUGUAUCGAUGGUCCCAGGAAGGGCUCUGAUUGACCCAGCCAGCAUCACAUGCCCCAGCCCAGUCACUGUACCAAGGAGAAUGUGGCACUGUGGUUGGCUUCCUUGCCCUUCCCAGCUUGUGGGACCCCGAGAUGGACCCCCAUUAGCCCACGUGGACAGGAAAUGAGAGGGGUUGGAAAUAUGCCAGACAGGUACAAUAAGCUGGCGUACAUCCCUGGCAGGUACAUCCCUGCCUUGAUUCAGUCCAAGGCUUGGAGGGGGGACCUCGGAGGACACCAACAUCUACGAGAUGGACAGAACUUGAGAAGGAGACCGAGGAGUAUGCGAGAGGUUCUGGGUCUCCCAGGGUCUUCUCUGUCUCUUCCAGGGAAGUUCUGCAAGGAGUGAACGGGCAGAGGCAAAUCCUGGAAGGGGUGACAGGCUCCUACUGUUCUGGGCUCCACCCAGCCACCCUCACCUGGGUGGAAAGGCUGUGGGCCCUGCUUCAGCCAAUAUAGGCGCUCCCCACUCCCCCAGCAGAGCCUGUUUCCUUAUCUGUGAAAUGGUGAUUCCAACAGAACACCCACCGCAGAGGGAGACUGAGAGUAUGAGGAAGAUGGCACCGGGAAAUCCUUAUCUCAAUGCCUGACACGUAGGGUUUCCCAAUACCGUCUAGACUCUACUACCAUCCUGCAGAAUGUGGAUCCACUCCUGUGUGUGCAGUGUACCUGGCCUCUCCAGUGCUUCGGUUUUCUCAUCUGUUAAGUGGAAAGAGAGUUAUUGUGCUGAUUAGAUGCAGUCAUAUGUGUAGAAUGCUUUAAAAGUGACUGGCACGUAGUCAGUGCCCUAUAGCUGUGGGCUUCUCAAGUGAAUCUCCAGCUAGUAAAUAUGCUAAAUGCUGGUAAAUGUGCGACAUGGUUUCCAUUGGUCAUGUUCUUUAAUUAUGUUUAAUUGUCACAACCACCCUACCCAUUUUAUAGGUGAGAAAACAGAGGCUCAGAGAGGCGAGGUCACAGAGCUUGGAAGCCAAGUGGGUCUGAUGACAGAGCCAUGCCCCUAACCUUUGCCCUGAUACCUCCCUGUUUAUGAGGGGCCACCUGGCAGCCGGACCUGGAAGACUUAGGUCACACUGCAGGCAGGCCCCCGCCCCUUGCAGGGAGUCCGUGAGACCCCUGCCGGGGAAGAGCCCCCCCCCCCAAGUCUAGCUGGGCCUCGGGCUCUGCCACACCUAGUACCCUUGUCCCUCCUGCCCCCCCUAGAGCUUCCUCUUGAGCCCCUGUCACCAGAGGCCCUGGCCCAGGUGGGGCGGGGGCCAACGGGUGACAAUGACCGAUUUAGAAAGUAAAGUUGCUUCUCAAACAAAUAAGAAAGAAGAGGAAAGAAAGAAAUGGCCUGCCCGCUUCCUGCCCUACUCUCUCUCCCAGCACCUGGGGCCCAGCUGUGAGCUUUUCACUGCGUGUUUGUUCAUCCUGCCUCGAGGAGCUUCUUCUUAAAGCUCCAGGCCCCCUCCACAUGGGCGGAGGGAUGUUCAUGGAGCCAAUGGAAAUAAGCACCCUCCAUGAUUGCUGCAUUGUCACUGUCUAGAGGAUUGUUUUGGACAACAAUACCAAUAAUCAUAACAAUCUGGGUUUCCUGCACUUGGCAGAGGGGGGGUUAUCGGCUUAGACUUGGGUGUGGCCGUCCUGGCUGUGAUUUCUGAGGUGUGAAGGCCCGGGCAGGUCAUUAUGUCUCUCUGGGCCUCAGUUUCCUUGCCUGCAGAGUGGGGAUAGGGGAGGGCUGACGGAGACAAGCAUGAGCACCCAACACACAGUGCAUGGCCGGGUGGCAGCUCCUCGAUCGGUCACUAAAGCCGGGGUCACCCAGGAGCACAAUUUUAAGAGCCUCCCCGGACGUGGUGGGAGAGCGCAGUGGAAUGGGAGGUGGAGUGAAUGCCUGGCACGUUCUAGCCUCUGUUGUAAGGGUUUUAUGCACAAUUGCUCAUUCCAUCCUUACCACACCACAUGGAGUAGAUACUCUUGUCCCUGUUUUACAGAUGAGAUCAAGACACCAAAAAGUGACCUGUCCAAGGUCACUGCAUCCGGUAGGUGCAGAGCCAGGAUGAAUCCAGCCUGUCCGGAUCCAAAACCAGUGCUCUUAGCUGCAUCCAUGGCCCUCAGGGCAGCUGUGGCUGCACUGGAUCUGCUUUGUCGGGUCACCACGGACAAGCCAUUUCCUUCUCCGACUCAGCUCUUGAUCUACAAACCGAGCAGCCCGUAACACCAGCCUACAAGACAUUAUACAGUCCUAAGGGAGAGGCGUGGUCAGAUUUAGUGACCCUGAAGGGAAAGACCUCGAGUGAACAUACCACAGGCUCUGGAAGCUGCCCGUGGCCAUCACUCCCGCAAUUAUUAUUAGUUUGACAGCCACAGGCGAGAGCCAGCCUAGAGGAUGCUGAGGGCCCUGCCCAGCUCUGAAAAUCUAAAUCCUGUGGUUGCAGCUGGGGAGUAACUCCAGGAGGCACCUGGUGAGAGGUGGCUCCACCCGUUGGGGCUAAAUAAAUCCCCAAGGCUGCCACCAGGCAAUCUGCCAGUCACCUGCCCUAAUUAAUGGUAAAGUCACCAACCCUGCUUCUCUGCGUCCCUUCCAUCCCCCACGAGCUGUGUGGCCCUGGAGAGAUGGCUCAACCUCUCUGAGACAGGAAAAGGACAUGACCUUGCAGAGUUUUGAUGCAUUAGAGAUAAUGUAGACAAAGUGCUCAGCACAGUGCGUGCCACGUAGCUGAGAAGAGAUGAUGAGAACCUGAGCCCGGGGCCAAGCUGCGUCCCAUUCCUGCGCCAUUUCCUGUUGUGUGCCCUUGGGCGAGUUCCUUGGCCUCUCUGAGCCUGGAAAACGGAGGAGCCCUGCACCUGGCAUACAGCAGUUGUUUACCUAAAGAUUGUGCUUGGGUGACCAUUUUUUGCACUUUAUAAGGAUGUCCAGAGGCCCUGAAAGAUCCUGGGGGCAUAGUGUUCCCUCCAGUGCCGGAUUUCUCUGUCUGCCCCUCUGGAACUCCCCAAGGCCCUUCUCCAUCCUGUUCUGUGCCCUGAUAGGUGAAUUUUGUGGGUGACAUCAAUGGCCUCCUUGGCCCUUUGGCUUCUGGUUGGGCAGGGCAGGGCAGGAGGGCAGAGGGCAUGCAGGAGGGCUCCCCGAGCCCUUCCUGCAGGGUGGCCACGGCUUGGCCGUGUCCCUCACCCAAGGGCUCUGGCCCCUGCAGGCGGCCCCUUGCGUGCAUACAUCUCUGGCCCCGGGUCUGGGUAACUUCUCCCUCUCCAUCCUUCGGGCUAGAGGUGGUAACAGCUCCCCGUUGUUGCCAACCCUAGGACACUGCACCAUCCCUCUUGGUAGCCCUGAAUCCUGACCACAUCUUUGUUAAUAGUCUCCUAAUUAAACUCUCUUCAAAC